rnacentral:rRNA from 1 species
UUAAACAGUUAUAGUUUAUUUGAUAGUCGAUAUAUACUACAUGGAUAACCGUGGUAAUUCUAUGGCUAAUACAUGCGCAAAUACUGUACUGUCACAUACUGUGAUGGUACAGUAGUGUUUAUUAGAUACAGAACCAACAAUACACCAUUAUUACUACUUUUGUAGUGGUGGUGUAAGAAGAAAGGGUGAUUCAUAGUAACCGAACGGAUCGCAUAUUGUAAUCAUUUCGGUGAUUGGCGAUAGAUCAUUCAAGUUUCUGACCUAUCAGCUUUCGACGGUAGUGUAUUGGACUACCGUGGCAGUGACGGGUAACGGGGAAUUAGGGUUCGAUUCCGGAGAGGGAGCCUGAGAAACGGCUACCACAUCUAAGGAAGGCAGCAGGCGCGCAAAUUACCCAAUCCUGACUCAGGGAGGUAGUGACAAGAAAUAACAACACUGGAAAUUGUAUUUCUAGUGAUUGGAAUGAUGGGAAUCCAAACCCCUUUCAGAGUAACAAUUGGAGGGCAAGUCUGGUGCCAGCAGCCGCGGUAAUUCCAGCUCCAAUAGCGUAUAUUAAAGUUGUUGCAGUUAAAAAGCUCGUAGUUGGAUAUCUGCUGGAAGCAAUCAGUCCGCCCUUUUCAUAAGGGUGUGCACUUGAUGAAUUCUGGCAUGAUUUCAUCCUGAUAAUGAUAAUAAUAUGUUGUUAUGAUAUUAGGUUGAUUCCUAGUAUAAUAAUAACAUUAUUAUUGUUAUGGGGAUGACAGUUACUUUGAGAAAAUUAGAGUGUUUGAAGCAGGCUUUUGUUGCCUUGAAUACUGCAGCAUGGAAUAACAAUAUAGGAUUUCGGUUCUAUUGUUUUGUUGGUUUUUUCUGUAGGACUGAAAUAAUGAUUAAUAGGGACAGUUGGGGGCAUUCGUAUUUAACUGUCAGAGGUGAAAUUCUUAGAUUUGUUAAAGACGACUACU